GGUUGUAUAGUGUAGUGGUUAGCACACCGGAUUUUGAUUCCGGUAACCUGGGUUCGAGUCCCGGUACGACCU
rnacentral:tRNA from 1 species